rnacentral:lncRNA from 1 species
GGGGGAAGGCUCCUGGGGCUGGGAAGAUCUGAGGCCCUCUGUCUUCCAGAAGCCCUGCCACGUUCUCAGGGCACAUUCUUGCGGGUGGCGGGUGGCGGGUGGCGGGUGGCGGGUAGCAGGUGGCGGGUGGCGUGGCCUGGAUGCUGCGGGACUUUAGGGCUCCUCCCUCCUGACCCCUGCUGGUCCUCCUGGGCGGGGGGUGGCCGCAAGGGCAGCUAGCUUUCUCCUCCAGCCCCUGGCUGCUCCUCUCUCCCCUGGGAAGGAGAAGCACAGGCCAGUCCUUGGGUGAUUUCUCCUACGUCUACGUGCCGGGGUCCCCAUCACCCCCGCCGCUGCGCAGCACGGCCCGCAGCAGACCUCGUCCUCUCACUUUGCAGGGGCUGCAGCCAGGGCAGCGAGGCUCUACGCCCGGAGCUGGCCUGGCAUGGGCACGGCCAGUCGACUGGAAAAGGUGCCAGCCGGCUCCUGGAGCAGGUGUCUUGGAGCAGGAGGAUGCAGGUGAUGGACGGGGCAUGUGACUGGCACAGCAUACCUGCAGGCUUAGCGCAAGAAUCCGGCACUUCUGACAUGUGACCCAAAGAAUGUGAGCCGCCGACAACAAGCUGGGGGCUUUCUCACGCGAGGAGUAGGUCAUUUCUGUCUGCUGCGAGGCCGGGAAGACGUGCCCCUGUCUCCCUGGCACUGCUGGAGGCUUCUAGCCAAAGCCACCCACUCUGACUUUGCAGGUCUGAUGGAGUUUCCCAUGUCAGUAGAGGAACUUUCUUAUAUCCGUAUAUGCAGGGUUCCUGUAAUUAUAAAAUAUCCAAGAUUUUCCGCUGGGGAAUGGAAGUGGCAAGCAGCAGAGAGAUGCUGGUCUUCUAAGUUUUCAUUUAAAAUGCUUUCAGGGAGACAUUAGUCUUUUGGUUGCUGUGGUUUUCUUUCCUGUCCAUUUUUUUUGUUUAUUUGUAAUAAAGUAUUUUAAAAAUAUAUGCUCA